rnacentral:rRNA from 1 species
UACGUAGGGGGCAAGCGUUGUCCGGAUUUACUGGGCGUAAAGGAGCGUGUAGGCGGCCAGGCAGGUCUGUUGUGAAAACUGGAGGCUCAACUUCCAGACGUCGACAGAAACCGCUUGGCUAGAGUCCGGAAGAGGCGAGUGGAAUUCCUGGUGUAGCGGUGGAAAUGCGCAGAUAUCAGGAGGAACACCAUAGCGAAGGCAG